rnacentral:rRNA from 1 species
GAACCAAAGUUUAAGNGGCUUUUGCUUUAUUCUUUGCCCCGCCCCGUCUGAAUAUACCCAUGCUUUUNGCGUACUAUUUGUUUCCUUGGUGGGCUUGCCUGCCGAUAGUACAUUAUAAACUCCUUUGCAAUUGCAGUCAGCGUCAGAAAAACUUAAUAAUUACAACUUUCAACAACGGAUCUCUUGGUUCUGGCAUCGAUGAAGAACGCAGCGAAAUGCGAUAAGUAGUGUGAAUUGCAGAAUUCAGUGAAUCAUCGAAUCUUUGAACGCACAUUGCGCCCCUUGGUAUUCCAUGGGGCAUGCCUGUUCGAGCGUCAUUUGUACCCUCAAGCUCAGCUUGGUGUUGGGUGUUUGUCCCGCCUUUUGCGUGUGGACUCGCCUUAAAGCAAUUGGCAGCCGGCAUAUUGGCCUGGAGCGCAGCACAAUUUGCGCUUCCUGCCAUGAUUGUUGGCAUCCAUCAAGCCCAUUUAUUUGCUCUUGACCUCGGAUCAGGUAAGGGAUACCCGCUGAACUUAAGCAUAUCAAUAAGCCGGAGG